rnacentral:misc_RNA from 1 species
CUGAUUACUCUCCCCAGAUUAAAGGAGUGGUUAUUAUUUCACUUCCACCUCCAGAUAAUCCUUCUUUAGGCAAAACCAUCACUGCUUUUACUCUCACUGAUGAUGAUCACUAUCCACUCUCUCACCAAACCCAUCUCCAACAACCCUCCCAAACCCAUCGAGAUUAUCAGCUUCCAGUCCAGUCUUCACCACCACCACCGCCGCCCCAAAACCCCCAAAUCCAAUACUCAUCAUCACAACUCUUUCUUAGUACCCCAAGAAAGCUCUUGGGCUUUGUGUGUAUCUCUCUUUUUGCUCUUAUUCUCUACAGCUCUGUAUUUUCGAGUACCCUUCAGGAAUUGAAGGCUUCUGAAGAUGAUGAAAAGCCCAAGUCUUUUAUCUUUCCCUUGUAUCAUAAAUUUGGUAUCCGUGAGAUUUCGCAGGGUGAUCUUCAACAUAAAUUGGUGAGGUUUGUCUAUAAGGAGAGUCUGUUGACGCCAGCUGAUGAUACUAUUGGUCCACCAAAAAAUAAUAAGCUAGCUUCUUUAAAUACUGCUGCUGUGGAUUCAUCUUCCAUUUUUCCCGUUAGGGGCAAUGUUUUUCCAGAUGGAUUGUAUUUCACAUACAUAUUCGUUGGGAGUCCUCCAAGACCUUACUAUCUUGAUAUUGAUACUGCAAGUGAUUUAACAUGGGUUCAAUGUGAUGCUCCUUGCAGUAGCUGUGCCAAGGGGGCAAAUGCUUUGUACAAGCCAAAAAGAGACAACAUUGUAACUCCCAAGGACUCAUUAUGCAUGGAACUUAAAAGAAAUCAGAUGCCAGGGUAUUGUGAUACGUGCCAACAGUGCGACUAUGAGAUUGAAUAUGCAGAUCAUAGCUCCUCUAUGGGAGUUCUUGCAAGAGAUGAACUUCACCUAAUGAUGGCAAAUGGAUCUUCAACUAAGUUGAAUUUUAUUUUUGGGUGUGCAUAUGAUCAGCAAGGCUUACUUCUAAACACUUUGGCAAAGACAGAUGGGAUACUUGGACUAAGCAAUGCUAAAGUUAGUUUACCUUCUCAAUUGGCAAGCCGGGGCAUCAUAAACAAUGUGGUGGGUCAUUGUCUUCAAUGAUGUAGGUGGUGGUGGAUAUAUGUUCUUAGGUGAUGAUUUUGUACCACGUUGGGGUAUGGCAUGGGUUCCUAUGCUCAACGGCCCUAUAGAAUCUUAUCAGACNNNNNNNNNNNNNGUUGAAUUAUGGUAGCAGCCCACUCAGUCUAGGUGGGCAGGAUAGAAGAGUAAGACGGAUAGUGUUUGAUAGUGGCAGUUCUUAUACAUACUUCCCCAAAGAAGCUUACUCUGAAUUGGUUUCAUCUCUUAAAGAGGUGUCCGGGGAGGGGCUUAUCCAAGAUAAAUCAGAUCCAACACUGCCCUUCUGUUGGCGAGCCGAAUUCCCUAUCAGAUCCAUUACAGAUGUUAAGCAGUUCUUCAAGACUUUAACCCUUCAAUUCGGGAGCAAAUGGUGGAUUAUCUCCACAAAGUUUCGGAUUCCUCCAGAAGGCUACUUGGUCAUUAGUAAUAAAGGCAAUGUGUGCUUGGGUAUUCUUGAUGGAAGCCAGGUGCAUGAUGGAUCCACAAUUAUACUUGGAGAUAUAUCAUUGCGUGGGCAAUUGGUCAUAUAUGAUAAUGUGAACAAGAAAAUUGGGUGGGCGCCAUCAAGUUGUGUGAAGCCAACAAGAUUAGAGAGCCUGCCAUUCUUUGAGGGAUAGAUCAUUUUAAAUACUAGAUAUAUAUUGCACAUUGCUUGUUCAGUUUCUACUGUUUUGUGAAUCUUACAUGAAAGGCUUAUAGUAUUUGUUUGAUAUAUAACAGAAUUAAACGUUAUGUAAUUAAGUGAAUUUUUUA